AACGAACGCUGGCGGCAGGCCUAACACAUGCAAGUCGAACGCUCCGCAAGGGGAGUGGCGCACGGGUGAGUAACACGUGGGAACCUACCUUCUGGUACGGAACAACCAAGGGAAACUUUGGCUAAGACCGUAUACGACCUCCGGGUGAAAGAUUGAUCGCCGGAAGAGGGGCCCGCGUCCGAUUAGGUAGUUGGUGAGGUAACGGCUCACCAAGCCUUCGAUCGGUAGCUGGUCUGAGAGGAUGACCAGCCACACUGGGACUGAGACACGGCCCAGACUCCUACGGGAGGCAGCAGUGGGAAUAUUGGACAAUGGGCGCAAGCCUGAUCCAGCCAUGCCGCGUGAGUGAUGAAGGCCUU
rnacentral:rRNA from 1 species